rnacentral:lncRNA from 1 species
UCCAUCGGGAGCCAGCACCGGGGCUGAAAAAGCUUCCCAGCCUCCCACUUGACCAGGGAGCAGGCCAGACCCCCGCCCGGUUACUCAGGGAACGCCUGCCCACUCCUGUCUGCACCCUCCUCACUCUGAGCUGUAUUUUUAACUCCUGCCAUAUGCGAAGCCGCCAAAACACCCGGGGAGGAAAGGGGGUCUGGAGGAAAUCACCGCUGGUGCCUUUCUGGUCUGAAGGAGAAAGCGCCCGCAGUGUCAGGAGCUCCCUGGAGACCGGAAGCAGCCUCUCCAGUGACAGAUACAGGUACUGUUGCACCGUCUACUCCUGGCCUGCACCAGUGACCAGGACCAGCCCGAGGUCCCCCCAGUGUCCGGGCUCAGCCCGAGGUCCCCCCGGUGACCAG